GACGAACGCUGGCGGCGUGCUUAACACAUGCAAGUCGAACGGGUCUGCCCUGUUUUUUGCGGGGUGGGUCAGUGGCGAACGGGUGAGUAACACGUGAGUAACCUGCCCCUCACUUCUGGAUAACCGCUUGAAAGGGUGGCUAAUACGGGGUGUUCUGGCUGUGCCGCAUGGUGUGGCUGGGAAAGAUUCACUUUUGUGGUGUUUUGGUGGGGGAUGGGCUCGCGGCCUAUCAGCUUGUUGGUGGGGUGAUGGCCUGCCAAGGCUUUGACGGGUAGCCGGCAGGGGAGGGUCGGCCGCCACACUGGGACGGAGAGGCGGACCAGACUCCGGCGGGAAGCAGCAGUGGGGGGUAUUGCACAAUGGGCGGAAGCAUGAUGCAGCGACGUCGCGUGAGGGAUGGAGGCCGUCGGGUUGUGAACCUCUUUCGCCGGUGAAGAAGGGCCUGCGCUUUGUGGUGGGGUUGACGGUAGCCGGGUUAUGAAGCGCCGGCUAACUACGUG
rnacentral:rRNA from 1 species